rnacentral:lncRNA from 1 species
UCCUCGUGUGCGCGUCUCUCCGCUGCUAACAUGGUAUCGGAGCCUUGGGCUCCUUGAUCCUGGGCAUGGCGCUUGCUGGCCAGGAGGCCAGUGAUGAGGAGGAGGAUGAGCCUCCCAAUUGCAAUCCCUCUUGCAAUGUUUGGGACGCUUGAGGCGUUGCACCAAGGCACCAGGCUGUGUAGAGGUGCUGAGCAACAAGCAGCAGCAAGUAGAGAACAAAGCCAGUGGGAGAUUGAGAGAUUUCACCAACCCACAUCAAGAAUUGGGUCAAGAUUCAAGAACAUUGCAUAGCAAUUCUUUGCAGGAAUUUCCAGCAAUUGGGAAGGAUGCUCAUGGAGAUUCAAGUGCCUAGUCGCAGAGAAGUGGGAGCCUGGCAGUUCACGGCCAAGACCUCAUGCUAGAGGCAAGAUUGAAGCCAUAGCAAGAAGCAAAGAGUGUGCAAGCAAGUCCAAGACCAAGAACCAAGUUUUGGGUAGUUGAUUGAUGAGUUUUCAUAUGCUUUUCUCAUCAGCUUUCCAUGCUCAUCAUCUGAGACUAGCUAGGCACGAUUCAGGCUUAGAUUCAGACUGGAAUCAGCCGCCUGAUCGUGAGUGGGAGUGUUAGAGGUAGAGAUGAUGUGGCAGUAGUUAUGCCCACGUGGCAGUAGCUUUAUGUAUAUGUACACAAUCAUAUACAGUUAUAUAUAUACAGUUCUUCC